AUACGGAGGGUGCAAGCGUUAUCCGGAAUCACUGGGCGUAAAGGGCGCGUAGGCGGUCUGUUAAGUCCGAUGUUAAAGACUGGGGCUCAACCCCGGCAUGGCGUUGGAUACUGGCAGGCUUGACGGUUGGAGAGGCGAGUGGAAUUACCAGUGUAGCGGUGAAAUGCGUAGAUACUGGUAGGAACACCCAUUGCGAAGGCAGCUCGCUGGACAACACGUGACGCUGAGGCGCGAAAGUGUGGGGAGCAAACCGGAUUAGAUACCCGGGUAGUCCACACCCUAAACGAUGCAUACUUGGUGUUGGCCCGUUGGGGUCAGCGCCGGAGCUAACGCGUUAAGUAUGCCGCCUGGGAAGUACGGCCGCAAGGUUGAA
rnacentral:rRNA from 1 species